UACGAACCGAGCGAACGUUGUUCGCAAUCACUGGGCUUAAAGGGUGCGUAGGCGGGCUGCCAAGUUUGGGGUGAAAUCCUCCGGCUCAACCGGGGAAGUGCCUCGAAUACUGGCGGUCUGGAGGGAGGUAGGGGCGUGCGGAACUAACGGUGGAGCGGUGAAAUGCGUUGAUAUCGUUAGGAACUCCGGUGGCGAAGGCGGCACGCUAGACCUCUUCUGACGCUGAGGCACGAAAGCCAGGGGAGCGAACGGG
rnacentral:rRNA from 1 species